rnacentral:rRNA from 1 species
AUUAGCGGAUGACUUGUGGCUGGGGGUGAAAGGCCAAUCAAACCGGGAGAUAGCUGGUUCUCCCCGAAAGCUAUUUAGGUAGCGCCUCGUGAAUUCAUCUCCGGGGGUAGAGCACUGUUUCGGCAAGGGGGUCAUCCCGACUUACCAACCCGAUGCAAACUGCGAAUACCGGAGAAUGUUAUCACGGGAGACACACGGCGGGUGCUAACGUCCGUCGUGAAGAGGGAAACAACCCAGACCGCCAGCUAAGGUCCCAAAGUCAUGGUUAAGUGGGAAACGAUGUGGGAAGGCCCAGACAGCCAGGAUGUUGGCUUAGAAGCAGCCAUCAUUUAAAGAAAGCGUAAUAGCUCACUGGUCGAGUCGGCCUGCGCGGAAGAUGUAACGGGGCUAAACCAUGCACCGAAGCUGCGGCAGCGACACUAUGUGUUGUUGGGUAGGGGAGCGUUCUGUAAGCCUGUGAAGGUGGCCUGUGAGGGUUGCUGGAGGUAUCAGAAGUGCGAAUGCUGACAUAAGUAACGAUAAAGCGGGUGAAAAGCCCGCUCGCCGGAAGACCAAGGGUUCCUGUCCAACGUUAAUCGGGGCAGGGUGAGUCGACCCCUAAGGCGAGGCCGAAAGGCGUAGUCGAUGGGAAACAGGUUAAUAUUCCUGUACUUGGUGUUACUGCGAAGGGGGGACGGAGAAGGCUAUGUUGGCCGGGCGACGGUUGUCCCGGUUUAAGCGUGUAGGCUGGUUUUCCAGGCAAAUCCGGAAAACCAAGGCUGAGGCGUGAUGACGAGGCACUACGGUGCUGAAGCGACAAAUGCCCUGCUUCCAGGAAAAGCCUCUAAGCAUCAGGUAACAUCAAAUCGUACCCCAAACCGACACAGGUGGUCAGGUAGAGAAUACCAAGGCGCUUGAGAGAACUCGGGUGAAGGAACUAGGCAAAAUGGUGCCGUAACUUCGGGAGAAGGCACGCUGAUAUGUAGGUGAAGCGACUUGCUCGUGGAGCUGAAAUCAGUCGAAGAUACCAGCUGGCUGCAACUGUUUAUUAAAAACACAGCACUGUGCAAACACGAAAGUGGACGUAUACGGUGUGACGCCUGCCCGGUGCCGGAAGGUUAAUUGAUGGGGUUAGCGGUAACGCGAAGCUCUUGAUCGAAGCCCCGGUAAACGGCGGCCGUAACUAUAACGGUCCUAAGGUAGCGAAAUUCCUUGUCGGGUAAGUUCCGACCUGCACGAAUGGCGUAAUGAUGGCCAGGCUGUCUCCACCCGAGACUCAGUGAAAUUGAACUCGCUGUGAAGAUGCAGUGUACCCGCGGCAAGACGGAAAGACCCCGUGAACCUUUACUAUAGCUUGACACUGAACAUUGAGCCUUGAUGUGUAGGAUAGGUGGGAGGCUUUGAAGUGUGGACGCCAGUCUGCAUGGAGCCGACCUUGAAAUACCACCCUUUAAUGUUUGAUGUUCUAACGUUGGCCCGUAAUCCGGGUUGCGGACAGUGUCUGGUGGGUAGUUUGACUGGGGCGGUCUCCUCCUAAAGAGUAACGGAGGAGCACGAAGGUUGGCUAAUCCUGGUCGGACAUCAGGAGGUUAGUGCAAUGGCAUAAGCCAGCUUGACUGCGAGCGUGACGGCGCGAGCAGGUGCGAAAGCAGGUCAUAGUGAUCCGGUGGUUCUGAAUGGAAGGGCCAUCGCUCAACGGAUAAAAGGUACUCCGGGGAUAACAGGCUGAUACCGCCCAAGAGUUCAUAUCGACGGCGGUGUUUGGCACCUCGAUGUCGGCUCAUCACAUCCUGGGGCUGAAGUAGGUCCCAAGGGUAUGGCUGUUCGCCAUUUAAAGUGGUACGCGAGCUGGGUUUAGAACGUCGUGAGACAGUUCGGUCCCUAUCUGCCGUGGGCGCUGGAGAACUGAGGGGGGCUGCUCCUAGUACGAGAGGACCGGAGUGGACGCAUCACUGGUGUUCGGGUUGUCAUGCCAAUGGCACUGCCCGGUAGCUAAAUGCGGAAGAGAUAAGUGCUGAAAGCAUCUAAGCACGAAACUUGC